rnacentral:rRNA from 1 species
GACGGAGGGUGCUAGCGUUGUCCGGAUUUACUGGGCGUAAAGAGCGCGCAGGCGGUCGUUCAAGUCGAGUGUGAAAGCCCCCGGCUCAACUGGGGAGGGUCACUCGAUACUGAUCGACUUGAAGGCAGGAGAGGGAAGCGGAAUUCCCGGUGUAGUGGUGAAAUGCGUAGAUAUCGGGAGGAACACCAGUGGCGAAGGCGGCUUCCUGGCCUGUCCUUGACGCUGAGGCGCGAAAGCUAGGGGAGCAAACGGGGAU